rfam:Callithrix jacchus chromosome 8, whole genome shotgun sequence
GCUGGGCGUGGUGGUGCGCGCCUGUAGUCCCAGCUACUCAGGAGGCUGAGGCAGGAGAAUUGCUUGAACCCGGGAGGCGGAGGUUGCAGUGAGCCGAGGUCAUGCCACUGCACUCCAGCCUGGGUGACAGAGUAAGACUCUGUCUCAA